rnacentral:rRNA from 1 species
GACGAACGCUGGCGGCGUGCCUAAUACAUGCAAGUCGAACGCAGUGGGGACGGGUGAGUAACACGUGGGUAACCUCCCAUCAGAGGGGAUAACACAUGGAAACAGGUGCUCAAACGAUACUGAUGGUUGGACUCGCGGUGCAGGAGCUAGUUGGUGAGGUAACGGCUCAACAAGGCCACGAUGCAUAGCGGACUGGAGAGGUUGGUCGGGCACACUGUGACUGAGACACGGCACAGACGCCAACGGGAGGCGACGGUAGAGAAUGUUCGGUAAGGGACGAAAGUCUGACCGAGAAACGCCGCGUGGGUGAAGGGAUUUUUCGGAUCGUGGUACUCUGUUGUUAGAGUAGCGGUAUCUAACCAGUAAGCCACGGCUAACUACGUGCCAGCAGCCGCGGUAAUAC